rnacentral:rRNA from 1 species
GCCAGCAGCCAUAUCACCCUGCAGCUCACCAUUGGCAGCCCACUAACACUCAGCAGGGGCGAGCCUGGUCAGUACCUGGAUGGGAGACUCGUGGGAAAGCUAGGGUGGCUGCUGGAA